rnacentral:rRNA from 1 species
GAUGAACGCUGACAGAAUGCUUAACACAUGCGAGUCUACUUGAACUUCGGUUUGGGUGGCGGACGGGUGAGUAACGCGUAAAGAACUUGCCUCACAGAUAGGGACAACAUUUGGAAACGAAUGCUAAUACCUGAUAUUAUGAUUUUAGGGCAUCCUAGAAUUAUGAAAGCUAUAUGCACUGUGAGGGAGCUUUGCGUCCCAUUAGCUAGUUGGAGAGGUAACGGCUCACCAAGGCGAUGAUGGGUAGCCGGCCUGAGAGGGUGAUCGGCCACAAGGGGACUGAGACACGGCCCUUACUCCUACGGGAGGCAGCAGUGGGGAAUAUUGGACAAUGGACCAAGAGUCUGAUCCAGCAAUUCUGUGUGCACGAUGAAGUUUUUCGGAAUGUAAAGUGCUUUCAGUUGGGAAGAAAAAAAUGACGGUACCAACAGAAGAAGUGACGGCUAAAUACGUG